rnacentral:rRNA from 1 species
CGUGUAGGCGACUUCAUAUGUCUGUGAUCAACGCAUACGACUCUAUCGUAUUAAGCCGCGGAAACUGUGGAGCUUGAGGCUGGGAGGGGCUGAUGGAAUACUCUGUGUAGCGGUGAACUGCGUAGAGAUGAGGGAGAACAAUCGUGGCGAAGGCGGCCAGCUGGACCAGUUCUGACGCUGAGACGCGAAAGCGUGGGGAGCAAACAGGAUUAGAUACCCUGAUAGUCCACGCCGUAAACUAUGGGCACUACGUGUCGGCGGUUCCUAAUCCGUCGGUGCCGACGCUAACACAGUACGUGCACCGCCUGAGGAGUACGGUCGCAAGCCUGAAUCUCAAACGAAUUGACCGGAGCACGCACAAGCGGUGGAGCAUGUGGUUUAAUUCGACACAACGCGGAGAACCUUACCUAGGUUUGACAUGUAUAGGACAGCUGGUGAAAGUCAGUCCCCCUUCGAGGCAUAUGCACAGGUGCUGCAUGGCUGUCGUCAGCUCUUGUCGUGAGAUGCUGGGUUAAGUCCCGCAACGAGCGCAACCCUUGCAUUCUGUUACUACCGGGUGAUGCCCGGCACUCUGAGGCGACUGCCUCGAUUAACGAGGAGGAAGGUGGGGAUGACGUCAAGUCCUCAUGGCCUUUAUCCCUAGGGCUACACACGUGCUACAAUGGUCAGGACAAAGGGCUGCUUCUUCGCUAGGAUACGCCAAUUCCAAAAACCUGGCCCCAGUUCGGAUGAUCGGCUGCAACUCGCCAGCUUGAAGCUUGAAUCGCUAGUUAUCGGAGAUCAGCACGCUCCGGUGAUUACGUUCCCGGGCCUAGUACACACCGCCCGUCACACACCGAAAGCUGCAUGUACCCGCAGUCGCUGAGCUAACCAUA